CUUCCAUGGAGUAGUGGUCGGCAGCAGCAUCACAGCAGCGGCCUCCCAUUAGGACUUCCUUCCUCUCGCUUAUGUUUGGUUUUCUCUUCUCUGGCCUCUGCAGGAACUCCUCAGAUCCUUGGAUUAAUGUGGGAACUUGGCCUGUGAACCCGAGCUAGAUGGGAGAAGCCUCCCCCCCGGUGGGGGAAGAGGGAAUGCCCCCCGGUGGGGAAGGAGGAAUGCCCG
rnacentral:lncRNA from 1 species